CCUACGGGAGGCAGCAGUCGAGAAUCAUUCACAAUGGGGGAAACCCUGGUGGUGCGACGCCGCGUGGGGGAAUGAAGGUCUUCGGAUUGUAAACCCCUGUCAUGUGGGAGCAAAUUAAAAAGAUAGUACCACAAGAGGAAGAGACGGCUAACUCUGUGCCAGCAGCCGCGGUAAUACAGAGGUCUCAAGCGUUGUUCGGAAUCACUUGGCGUAAAGCGUGCGUAGGCUGUUUCGUAAGUCGUGUGUGAAAGGCGCGGGCUCAACCCGCGGACGGCACAUGAUACUGCGAGACUAGAGUAAUGGAGGGGGAAGCGGAAUUCUCGGUGUAGCAGUGAAAUGCGUAGAUAUCGAGAGGAACACUCGUGGCGAAGGCGGGUUCCUGGACAUUAACUGACGCUGAGGCACGAAGGCCAGGGGAGCGAAAGGGAUUAGAUACCCCGGUAGUC
rnacentral:rRNA from 1 species